UCCGAGGUCAACCAUAAAAAAUUUGGGGUUUAAUGGCAGAGGCACGCGGGGAACCUGUAGCGAGAAGAAUUACUACGCUCAGGACCCAACGGCACCGCACACUGAUUUUAAGGCCCGCCAUUUUACUGGCGGAGGCCCAAUACCAAGCAGAGCUUGAGGGUUGAAAUGACGCUCGAACAGGCAUGCCCCCCGGAAUACCA
rnacentral:misc_RNA from 1 species